GGCAUUUAAACUUCCCAUUCCUGUGAAUGAAUCCUAACGGCGUUCUCGCGAUCGCGUCCCGUCCUGCGCGAGUGAAGAGUCGGCUCCCUGAGAUGAUGCUCCGGAGACUUCUAACGACGCUGCUGUGGUCCGCUGAAAUGAGCAAGACGCUGAGACUACAGACUGAGAUUUCACCCUCGUCACUUGCGCACUGGCAAGCAGAGAGGGAGAGAGGAACGACCUGUACGUAAAGAGUCGAGGAGUAUCUGAUUUUGCAGUUGUUCAUUGUCAUUAUGGCCAACAUUUACUACACGACAUGUGGAAUUUACUAUGAUAAAGACCACAUUGUCUUAUCAAACACUACUGUUUCAGAUGACUUGGGUUCUAAAAAGACUAUGUGUAAACUGUUCAGCUGACAUUCAUCAAAUGCAAAAAAAAAAAAAAAAAGAAA